CCUCUGCUUGCUAAAUCUUAAAGAGAAACAAGUAAACUGCGGCCUUCCCUUAUGUGUAUGAUGACCAAAACAGAAGAAAGCCUCAAUUGUUGAGUUUCUCAAAUUUUUAGCAAACAUCCAUGGAAACAUAACAUAGUCAAUAUGCAGAUAUUUUAUUUCUGUGUAAUGUGUCAUUUUACAGAUCUUGUUAUUGUUUCUGUAUCCUCCAGCUAUGAUCAUACAUUAAUUGUUUUUAAUGGAAGAAAUUUUAGCUGAUCACCAUUAUUCUUGCAGACAGGUCUGCAAAUGCAACCUGUUGGUUAAGACUUUCGGUUCAUAGGUAUGAUUUGAUCCUAAACAGUAGUUUGUAUUGUCACAAUUUAGUCCAUAGUAUUACUAUUUAUACUAUUCUGUACUGAUUUAGUA